rnacentral:rRNA from 1 species
CCUACGGGAGACAGCAGUGAGGAAUAUUGGUCAAUGGACGCAAGUCUGAACCAGCCAUGCCGCGUGCAGGAAGACGGCUCUAUGAGUUGUAAACUGCUUUUGUACGAGGGUAAACGCAGAUACGCGUAUCUGUCUGAAAGUAUCGUACGAAUAAGGAUCGGCUAACUCCGUGCCAGCAGCCGCGGUAAUACGGAGGAUUCAAGCGUUAUCCGGAUUUAUUGGGUUUAAAGGGUGCGUAGGCGGUCGGAUAAGUUAGAGGUGAAAUCCCGAGGCUCAACUUCGGAAUUGCCUCUGAUACUGUUCGGCUAGAGAGUAGUGGCGGUAGGCGGAAUGUAUGGUGUAGCAGUGAAAUGCUUAGAGAUCAUACAGAACACCGAUUGCGAAGGCAGCUUACCAAGCUACUUCUGACGUUGAGGCACGAAAGCGUGGGGAGCAAACAGGAUUAGAUACCCUAGUAGUC